rnacentral:rRNA from 1 species
UACGUAGGGGGCAAGCGUUGUCCGGAUUUAUUGGGCGUAAAGAGCGUGUAGGCGGCCAAGCAGGUCCGCUGUGAAAACUCGAGGCUCAACCUCGAGACGUCGGUGGAAACCGUUUGGCUAGAGUCCGGAAGAGGAGAGUGGAAUUCCCGGUGUAGCGGUGAGAUGCGCAGAUAUCGGGAAGAACACCCGUGGCGAAGGCGGCUCUCUGGGACGGUACUGACGCUGAGACGCGAAAGCGUGGGGAGCGAACAGG